UACAGAGGGUGCAAGCGUUGUCCGGAAUCACUGGGCGUAAAGGGCGCGUAGGCGGCCUGAUAAGUAGGGGGUGAAAUCCUGGGGCUUAACCUCAGGGCUGCCUUCUAGACUGUCCGGCUCGAGCACAGUAGAGGCAGGUGGAAUUCCCGGUGUAGCGGUGGAAUGCGUAGAGAUCGGGAAGAACAUCGGUGGCGAAGGCGGUUCUCUGGGCCUUACCUGACGCUGAGGAGCGAAAGCGUGGGGAGCGAACAGG
rnacentral:rRNA from 1 species